GCCGCAGUCGUCUAGGGGUAAGGACACCAGUUUGUGGAAGUCAACCGACGAAACACUGGAAACCGAGGUUCGAGUCCUCGCUGCGGCA
rnacentral:tRNA from 1 species